rnacentral:rRNA from 1 species
AUUGAACGCUGGCGGCAGGCCUAACACAUGCAAGUCGAACGGUAGCACAGAGGAGCUUGCUCCUUGGGUGACGAGUGGCGGACGGGUGAGUAAUGUCUGGGAAACUGCCCGAUGGAGGGGGAUAACUACUGGAAACGGUAGCUAAUACCGCAUAACGUCGCAAGACCAAAGAGGGGGACCUUCGGGCCUCUUGCCAUCGGAUGUGCCCAGAUGGGAUUAGCUAGUAGGUGGGGUAACGGCUCACCUAGGCGACGAUCCCUAGCUGGUCUGAGAGGAUGACCAGCCACACUGGAACUGAGACACGGUCCAGACUCCUACGGGAGGCAGCAGUGGGGAAUAUUGCACAAUGGGCGCAAGCCUGAUGCAGCCAUGCCGCGUGUAUGAAGAAGGCCUUCGGGUUGUAAAGUACUUUCAGCGAGGAGGAAGGCGUUGUGGUUAAUAACCGCAACGAUUGAC